CUCUGAAGACAGCGGAAGGACAUU
rnacentral:rRNA from 1 species